rnacentral:lncRNA from 1 species
CCACGCAGGAGCUGGCCGUGGGGAGGGGCGAUUUUCUCCGAUUUUCCCAUCUUUGAUUGUAAAACCUCCUUCGCGAGUGGGGGCUAUCUGUAUAGCAGGGCAGUGGCCGCUGGACCCCGCUCCUCCUGCGCUGCGAUCGAUCCCGGUGCCAGGCUGCGGCCACCCUCCAGGCUCGGCCGGUGCUGCUGAAACUGGUGGAAGCGGCUUGGGAGCUGCCCGGCCGGGCUGGCCCGCACCUUCUUCUUCCGCCGCUUCUUGGGCGCUGCGGGUGGUGGAGCAGCGGCCGGGACCAAGCUGCAGCCGGACGGCGCAGGGGUGCGAGGCGCGGGCGCCAGGCACGGUCUGUCCCCUCCGAGGAAGUGCGGCAGGAAGAGGGUGGGUGGCAGAGCGCACGGGUCGGGAAGGCGCGGCAAGGGCAGCGGGGCCGGGCUCACCAUCGGGAGGGGCCCCGAGGAACCCAAGGGGCGCUAGGCGGCCGC